UUGGGGUAGCUCAGUCGGUAGAACCCAAGGCUCUGGAUCUCAGGGCCGUGGGUUCGAGCCCCACAUCGGGCGAAA